rnacentral:lncRNA from 1 species
AGCUCUGCCCACUUAGAGAUAUUCCCCUCACUACUGUCUUUCAGGACACUCCUAAGUGAUUGCCUGUGGCACUUGCACAUCAGGACUGUCACCUUUGGGUCCCCCCAAAAACUAGGGCAGCAAUGGAAAAAGGGCAGGCUAGGCCAAGAGUGAGGAAUAAACAGUCUUUAUUGGCUUUGGACUAGGAGUCCUUGGGUCUUGAGUAUCUCUGUGUAUUUGUCGAUAUUCUUCAGAUUCUUCUCAGCCUGUUUCUGCAGCCUCAUAAACUGCUCCUUCUCCCUUUGCCCCUCCCCAUUCUUUCUCCUAAUGGAUCUUGACCUUCUCCUUCCUCUUCUCCUCCAGAAUGGCUGUCACUGGUUGGUACUUCCAGGCAAAUUUAUGAACCAGGUGCCCCAGGUAGGCAAACUUCAGUGUGGGCUUCAGGUGCACAACCUUGAGUAGAGUAGAAAUCACCAUCCACUUUUGCAAAGGGCAGGGCACAGGGGGUGUGGAUCCCAUCAAAUACCUUGAGGUGGUCCAGGUGGCCAGGCCUCACUUGGUUUUAUGGGGCAAUAUACCACUCAUGGUUCAGCCAAAAGAUGCAGUUAGGUGCCCGAAAGUAGAAGAGACCCAGAAGUGGUAGGGUCUAAAGACAGAGUUGGUGCUCCUGGUCUUGUGGAAGGUUAGAUACUGAAACUUGUUCCUGUAGAAGUUGACAAAAAUGCUGAUGUCCUUGCAGUGCAGGACCUCCAGCUUCCUGCCCAGCAGUACUUGCUUGGCCAUUAUGACCACCAGGCAACUCAGGAGAGGCCUAGGCCAUCGAUCACCAGAACCUGCCCCUUCAACAUCUUCAACAGCCACUUGGAAAAGGCCAGGAACUAUUUUACCAAAGGGAUUUAAGUCUGCACUGCAGAUGGCAUGACCUUGCUUCAUAACCAUAGAGAUCUGUGUUGUGAUUCUUCGAAUGGGAUUUGAUGUAAACUUUUUUAUUUUUACAAAGGCAAGGAAAUUCAAACAUUGAAAUGCUUAAGAAAAUAAAAAUCUUUCCAAAUCCUAUAACUGGAGACAAUUUGUCGAUUCAUCAAUAUCCUAGUGAGCAUUAUUUUAAACCUUUUACUAUAUAUUUAUACAAAUAGAACUACGUCUGUAAUUUAUUUUUUAUUUAUUAUUUACUCUGUUUAUAGAGACAGGGUCUUGCUCUGUCACCCAGGCAGGAGUGCCAUGGCAGAAUCAAACUCACUGCAGCCUCCAACUCGUGGGAUCAAAUGACCCUCCCACCUCAGCCUCCCCAGUAGCUGGGACUAUAGGCACACCACCACAUCUGGUUGUUUUUUGUUUGUUUGUUUGUUUUUUGUAGAGAUGGUAUCGCUGUGUUUCCCAAGCUGACCUUAAACUCCUGGUGUCAAUCCUCCCUCCUCAGCCUCCCAAGGUGCUUUGGUUAUAGGCAUGAGCUACUGAACCCAUCCAAAUUGCUGCUUUUUGAUUAAACACUAUUUUUAUAUAACAUAAAUUAACCAGUUUGCUAUAGAUAAUUCUUAAUUGAGUGGUACUGCCCUCUAGAGUAUGUUUUGUGUCUCGACUAUUUACAUGAUGAAAUACAUAUUUUGUUAUAAAUUACUGCUUUUUUCACAUUACAGUUAGUAUAUUUUGUUGUAUGUACCUAUGACUUUCAUUUCAGGACUGUAAGGGAGUGUUACAAAGUAUUUAUUAUAAAAAGGGCAUGAAGUCAGCUGGGAUUGAGAAGCACUGCUUGUAGAUGGACACAGAGUAUCUUCAAUUUUCAAUACUAAAAAUAUUCUGAUGAACAUCUUUGUAUAUUCAUGUUUUGCAGUGGGUUUGUUAGGCCAAAUGGUACACAUGUGCAGAAAUUUGGCACAUUGUACCAAUUCACCUAUAUACCAACAGGGCAUGAGAGUGCCAGUUUCCUCAUAUAUUCACCAACAAUAAUGUUGCCAUGGUUUGGAUGUGAUUAUUUUGCCAAAACUCAUAUUGAAAUUUGAUCCCUGAUGUGGCAGCAGUAUUCAGAGGUGGGACCUACUUGGGGAUGUUUGGGUUACGGGGACACCACUGUCAUGAAUGCCUUCCGGCUGCAAUGAGUUCUUCCUUUCUCAGGAAUGGAUUAUUUUACAUCAGAGAGAGCAGCUUGCUAAAUAGUGCCUGGGUUCCUUGGAUUCUCUCUCUUGCUUCCUCUCUCACCAUGUGGCCUCUUUGCAUACACCUCCCCCACCUUCCACUCUCUACCAUGAGUGUAAGGAAGCAGUACAAGACCCUCUCUAGAUAUAGCUGCCCAAUCUUGCACUUUCCAGCCACCAGGAUCAUGAACCAAACAAAUCUAUUUUCUGUAUAAAUUAUCCAGCGUCAGGUAUUCCAUUACAGCAACACUAAGUGGACUGUGACAAAUGUAGUCCUCUUGCAUAUGCCAGUCACUCUUCCCUUAAAAACUAGUUAAGAUUUUCUUAAAAUUUCUAUUCUGUGUCUUGGGGUAGAGUCCUUCAAGUGAUUCUGAAAGUUCCAGGAUUUUACUUUAUUUCUAGUAAUUCCUGGGUUUAAUUUCUGACUUUAAUUGAUUUCUCUUUUCCAUUUUUUAAAAAUAACAGCUAUACUGGGAUAUACUUCAUACACUACACAAUUCACAUAUUUAAAGUGUACACUUCAGUGGUUUUUAGAGACAUGCACAGAGACAUGCAACUGUUACUACGAUCAAUUUUAGAACAUGUUUUUCUUUUCUUUUCUUUUCUUUUCUUUUUGUUUUUUGAGACAGGGUCUCACUCAUUUGCCCAGGCUGGAGUGCAGUGGCCAGUCUCGGCUCACUGCAACCUCCACCUCCCAGGCUCAAGUGAUCCUCCCACCUCAACUGCCCAAGUAGCUGGGACUACAGGUUCACAGCACCAUGCCCAGCUAAUUUUUGUGUUUUUGGUAGAGAUGAAGUUUCACCAUAUUGCCCAAGUUGGUCUCCAACUCCUGGCCUCAAGCAAACCACUGACCUCAACCUCCCAAAGUGUUGGGAUAACAGGCGUGGGCCACUGUGCCCUGCCGCAAUAUUUUUUUCAUCACCCUCUAAAACCCCAUAUACCUCAGCAGUCACUCCCUAUUUUCUCAUAACCCCCCAGUCCUAGGCAACCACUAAUCUACUUUUUGGGUGGAUUUACCCUUUCUGGAUAUUAUAUAAAAAUAGAAUAGUCAAGUAUGGGGGCUUUUGCCACUGGCUUCUUUUACUUAGCAUAAUGUUUUCAGGAUUUAUUCAUCUUACAGUAUGUAGUAGUACUUCUUUUCUAUUGUUGAAUAAUAGUCUGUUGUAUAUACAUAUCACAUUUUAUUUAUCCACUCAUCAGUUAAUGAACAUUUGGGUUGUAUCUACAUUUUGGCUAUUAUGAAUAAUGCUGUUAUGAACAUUCUUGUACAAGUUUUUGUGUAGACAUAUGUUUUCAUUUCUCUUGGGUAUAUAUCUAGGAGUGAAAUGUCAUAUGGUAACUCUAUGUCUAACCUUUUGAGGAACUGCCAAACUGCUUUUCCAAAGCAGCUGCACCAUUUGACAUUCCCACCAGCAGUGCAUGAGAGUUCCAGUUUCCUCAUGCCCUCAACAUUGCUUGCAAUAGUCUGUGUUGUUGGUUAUUGCUAUUCUGUUGAGUGUGGAUUGGUAUCUCAUUGUGGUUUUAAUUUGCCUUUCCCUGAUAGCUAAUGAUGCUGAACAUCUUUUCAUGUGCUUGUUGGUCAUUUGUGUAUCUUCUUUGAAUGUCACUUAGAUCAUUUGCCCACUUUUAAUUGAGCUAUUUGGUUUUUUAUUAUUGAGUUGUAAUAAUUCUUAACAUAUUGUAGAUACAAGUCUCUUAUUAGAUAUGUGUUUGCAAGUAUUUUCUCCCAUUCUAUGGAUUGUCUUCAUUUUCUUGAUGGUAUCCUUUGCAACACAAAUGUUUUUAAUUUUCAUGAUGCCCAAUUUAUCCUUUUUUUCUUCCCUUGAGUGUGCUUUGGUGUCAUAUCUAAGAAACUAUUGUCUCAUCUAAUGUCACAAAGAGUUAUGCCUAUGUUUUCUUCCAAGAAUUUAGCAGUUUUAGUUCAUACAGUUAGGCCUUUGAUCCAUUGAUUUUUGCCUAUGUAUAUGCAUAAAUUUUCUGUACAUGCAAUUUUAUUAUUUUGCUUCUGGAUAUGCAGUUGUACCAGCAUCAUUUGCUGGAAAGAUUAUCCUUUCCCCAUUGAAUUGUCAUGACACCCUUUUCAAAAACCAAUUGACCAUGAAUUUGAGAGUUUAUUUCUAGACACUUAAUUCUCUUCCAUUGAUCUAUAUGUCUAUCUUUAAUGCCAGUACCUUACCAUUUUGGCUACUGUAGUUUUGUAGUAAAUUUUGGAAUUGGGAAGUGUGAGUCUUUCAACUUUGCUCUUUUUUUUCAAGGUUGUUUUUCCUAUUCUAAAGCAAAUUCAAACUUAUUCUAAAGGAAAUUCAAGAGAAUUUCCAUAUAAAUUUUAGGGUCAGCUUGUCAAUUUCUGUAAAAAAUUUAACUGGGAUUUUUACAACGAUAGGUUGAAUCUGUAGAUCAGUUGAGAAGUAUUGCCAUUUUAACAGUAUUAAGUCUUUCAAUCCAGCACAUGGAAUGCCUUUUCAUUUAUUUAAUUCUUCUUUAAUUUAUUUUAAUAAUGUUUUAUAGUUUUUAGGAUAUAGGUUUUACAGUUUUUUGGUUUAAUUUAUUCCCAACUAUUUUAUACGUUUUGAUGCUAUUGCAUCAGUUUUCUUACUUUUAUUUUCAGAUUGUUCAUUGCAGCAUAUAGAAAUAUAACUAAUUUUCAUAUAUCAAUCUUGUAGCCUGAAACCUUGCUGAACUUAUUUAUUAGUUUGUAAUGAUGUUUUAGUGGAUUCCUUAGGAUUUUCUAUAUACAAGUUUGUGUCAUCUACAACUAUAGUUUUACUUCUUUCUUUCCAAUCUGAAUGCCUUUUACUUCUUUUUCUUGCCCAAUUGCCCUUUCUACAACCUCCAAUGCAAUGUUGAAUAAAAGUGGUGAGAACAGACAUUCUUUUCAUUUAUUGAUCUUAGGAGGAAAGCUUUCAGUCUUUCAUCAUUAAUUAUGUUAGUUGUGGCUUUUCGUAGAUAUCUUUUUUUUUUUCUUUUUUGAGACAGGGUCUCACUCUGUCACUUAGGCCGGAGUGUAGUGAGUGGUCCAAUCUUGGCUCACGGCAGCCUCAACCUCCCGGGCUCAAGCAAUCCUCCUACUUUAGCCUCUGGAGUAUCUGGGACCACAGGUGUGUGCCAGCAUGCCUGGUGUUUUUUUUUUUUUUUUUUUUUUUUUUUUUUUGAUAGAGAAGAGGUCUCACUAUGUUGCCUAGGCUUGUCUUGAACUCCUGGGCUCAAGCAAUCCUCCCACCUUGGCCUCUUAAAGUGUGGAGAUUACAGGAGUGAGCCACCAUGCCCACGCCUGUAAUCUUAACACUUUAGGUGGUUGAGGAGGGAGAAGUCGGAAGGAGAUGCCUGAUGAAAGACAUAUCUUUUAUCAGGUUGAAGAAGUUCCUUUGUAUUCUUAGUUUGUUGAAUGUUUUCAUCCUGAAGGGAUUUUGUCAAAUGCUCUUUCUGCGUGUAUUGAUAUAAUUAUGUCAUUUUUGUUCCUUAUCCUAAUGAUAUGGUAUAUUAAAUUAAUUAAUUUUCUAAUAUUAGCCAGCUUGCAUUUUAGGGAUAAAUCCUACUUAGUCAUGGUGUAUAAUUCUUUUUAUGUGUUUCUGGAUUCCAUUUGCUAGUUCUCUUCUGUACUUUGCAAUUGAUUCUUUGUCAAUGUCCAGAUAUUAGGCCAAAUGGGGGGUAUGUCCACUUCCUGAUAUUUCCCCAGAUAAGACUGUUUUGGUCAUUUUUCACUCAUUCUGGUGCCUGGAAAUGGAACUCUUUAUGAGUCUUGCUAGGGGGAAAAGUCAAUUUCUUACUGUAAGAAUUAAAACAAAUUUUUAUUACUAUAUGAGUUUAAUAUUAUUUCUUACUAUAAGAAUUAAAAGCUAGGCAUGGUGGCUCAUGCCUAUAGCUGGGAGGCCAAGAUGGGCAGAUCGCUUGAGCCCAGGAGUUCAAGACCAGCCUGGGUAACAUGGUGAAAUCCUGUCUCAAAAAAAAAAAAAGAAAAGUCAGGUGUGGUGGUUUGUGCCUGUAGUCCCAGCUACAGAGGAGGCUGAGGAGGCAGGAUUACUUGAGCCCAGGAGUUGGAGCUUGUAGUGAGCUGUGAUCACACCACUGCACGGCACUCCAGCCUGGGCAACACAGCAAGAACCUAUCUCAAAAAAAAAAAAAUAGAAUUUAAAAAAAUUUACUUUUGCAAUCUUCCUUGGUGCUAGGGAAGAGGCAUAUGAUCAUUCAGACACACGUUAAUUAAUAUUUAAUUUGGGAGUGAAUGACACCUAAAGUAAGGUCUUUCUCUCUUUCUACAGCGAUACUGUUAGAAUAGCAGAAUCAGGCUUGAGGCAUGAUUUAGGGUGUUUUUCUCAGCUAUUUAGUCUCAACCCUAGUUCUCUAGUUCUCUUAGUAAUUCAUGGCACUGCCCAGUUUUUUUUACUUUUAUUUUUCUUUUUGAUCACCAUGAACAAACAAUUUCCUUUUAGUAAGUCCCGUAUUGCUUAAUUCAGCCAGGGUCCACUUUUAUUAAGAGCAACUAGUAGCCUUGUCAGAUAAAACACUCACACAUGGCAUUGUUGUUAGUUGCCUUAUACUAAUAAUUCAGGAGAUGAUGUCAGAGAUUACAUCAAUGAAGAACCAUACAGAAAAUAAUUUAAUAUCAAAUAUUUGACUUUCAUUUUUAAAAGAAUAGCAUUGUCCAUUUCUCCCAACAUGGCCCCAGCCUUCCACAAGGUGCUUUACUCCAUUCUCUUUACAUUUUCUUCUCCCGGCUCCAUCCCUAAAUCCUUGAUCAUUUCUUAAGUAGAGGAGUUUAUCUUACUCUUUUUUCUUGCCAAUCCCAAGUAAGUUUUAAAGAACUUUUCACAAAUAAAAGCACCUCUUUUCCUAAAACAAAAUGGUUCCCCUUUUGUUUCAUUCCACCUGAUAUGGUUUGGCUCUGUGGUCCCACCCAAAUCUCAUCUCAAAUUGUAAUCCUCACAUGUCAAGGGAGGGAAUUGUAAUCUCCACGUGUUGACCGAGGGAGGUGAUUGGAUCAUGGGGCAGUUUCCCCUAUGCUGUUCUUGUAAUAGUGAGUUCUCAUGAGAUCUGAUCGUUUUGUUUUUUUUUUUUCUUUUUGAGAUGGAGUCUCGCUCUGUGCCCAGGCUGGAGUGUAGUGGCACGAUCUCUGCUCACUGCAAGCUCCGCUUCCCGGGUUCACACCAUUCUCCUGCCUCAGCCUCCGGAGUAGCUGGGACUACAGGCGCCUGCCACCACGACUGGCUAAUUUUUUUGUAUUUUUAGUAGAGACGGGGUUUCACCGUGUUAGCCAGGAUGGUCUCGAUCUCCUGACCUCGUGAUCCUCCUGCCUCGGCCUCCCAAAGUGCUGGGAUUACAGGCGUGAGCCACCGCGCCCAGCCAAUGUGAUGGUUUUAUAAGGCGGUUUUCCCUGCUGUUGCUGGCUUUCUCUCACCCGCUGCUAUGUAAGAUGUGUCUCUUCCCCUUCUGCCAUAAUUGUAAGUUUCCUGAGGCCUCCCCAGUCAUGCAGAACUGUGAGUCAAUUAAACCUCUUUCCUUUAUAAUUUACCCAGUUUCGGGUAUUUCUUUAUAGCAGUGUGUGAACAGACCACCACAUUAGAAUUGCAUGUUGCUUUGUCAUUGCCAAUCUGACAGGUAACAAAAGAUAUCACACUUAUACAAACUCACAUUUGUUGCAUUUAUUGUUGUUGUUUUGGGACAGAGCCUCACUCUGUCACCCAAGCUGGAGUGCAGUGGCCUGAUCUCAGCUCACUGCAACCUCUGCUUUCUGGGCUCAAGCAAUUCUCCUGCCUCAGCCUCCCGAGUAGCUGGGAUUACAGGUGUCCACCACCAUGCUUGGCUAAUUUUUUUUUAUUUUUAGUAUAGACGGGGUUUCACCAUGUUGACCAGGCUGGUUUCAAACUCCUGACCUCAGGUGAUCUGCCCGCCUCAGCCUCCCAAAAUGCUGGGAUUACAGGCAUGUGCCACUGUGCCCAGCCUAUUGCAUAUUUUUAAAUUAGAGACUAAGAUUUCUUCUUUUCUGAAUUGUCUGUUAUUUUAACUAUUUUUCCAUGUUGGAAUAUUAGUCUUUUUCUUAUUCUUUUGUAGAUUCUUUUAAGCUCUUCAUAUACAGGGAAUAUUAGUACAUAGCAUAAAUAUUGCAAAUAGUUUUCCAGGUUGUUAUUUGGCAUUUGACAUUGUUUAUGAUGAAGUUUUGCUUAUUUUCCUAAAAACCAAAACAGAAUUUUUGGUUUUGUUUCUAAGAAAUAAAAGCUUUCAAGCUUUUCCUUUUUGACAUCUAGAUUUCAUGUCAUCUUUAGAAAAGCUGCCCCCACUGCCUUUGGCACAAAAAUCAUAUAACUGUUUAUGUGUCUUUUUUCUCCACCUGUAAUUCAUUAAAAAUUAGAAAACUGAUGUCCAGAUUGAUAAUACGACUUGCCCAAGGUCUUACAACUAAUUAAAGGAAAUAGGCUACAGAAAAGAUGGUGCUCCUACUGAAAGCAGUAAUGCAUAAUUAGUGGUACACUUCUUAAUUAAAAAUUUUAAUGUUAAGUGAGUUUUUUACCCUUUAAAAAUUAUGGCUAUUUUCUGGAAGCUUUUUUAGGAAAUAAAAGGAAAUACUCUCUUAAACAGUGAUAAUUCAAAAGACACAUUGGGACUUAUUACACAAAUGAAUAUUCAGAGUCAUAAUUUUCUUUAUUAAAACAUAUGGGAGACCAAGCACAGUGGCUCACACCUAUAAUCCCAGCACUUUGGGAGGCUUAGGCAGGAGGAUUGCUUGAGGCCAGGAGUUCAAGACCACCCUGGGCAACAUAGUGGGACCCUGUCUCCACAAAAAAUAAAAAUGAAAAAAUUUUAUUUUAAUUUACUUUUUUUUGGUUUCUGUUUUUGUUUUGAGAUGGAGUCUCACUUUCUCACCCAGGCUAGGGUGCAAUGGUGCAAUCUUGGCUCACUGCAACCUCUACCUCCCAGGUUCAAGUGAUCCUCCUGCUUUAGCCUCCCAAGUAGCUGGGACUAUAGGCAUGCACCAUUACACCCAACUAAUUUUUGUAUUUUUAGUACAGACGGGGUUUCACCAUGUUGGUCAGGCUGGUCUCGAACCCCUGACCGCAAGUGAUCUGCCUGCCUCGGCCUCCCAAAGUUCUGGGAUUACAGACGUGAGCCACUGUGCCCGGCCUGAUUUCUAGUUUUAUUUCAUUGUGGACGGAAAAGACUUGUCAUAUGAUGUCUGCUUUUUUCAAAUUGUGUAGACUUGUUUCAUUACUUGAGAUAUGGUCUAUUCUGCAGAAUGUUCCAUGUACUGAUGAAAAGAAUGUAUAUUCUGCAGCAGCUGGGUAAAAUGUUCUGUACAUGUCACUUAGGCACUUUGAUCUCAUGUGCAGUUUAAUUUCAAUUUUUUUUGUUGAUUUUCUGUUUGUAUGAUUUGACCAUUACUGACAAUGGGGUGUUAAAACCCCCUACAAUAAUAUUGCAGUCUAUCUCUCCCUUUAUAUCUAUUAGUGUUUGCUUUAUACUCUUGGGGGCUCCAUUGUUGUUUGCAUACAUAUUUAUUUAUUUAUUUUUUGAGAUGGAGUUUUGCUCUUGUUGUCCAGGCUGGAGUACAAUGGCCCGCUCCUGGCUCACUGCAACCUCUGCCUCCUGUGUUCAAGCAAGUCUCCUGCCUCAGCCUCCCAAGUAGCUGGGAUUACAGACAUGUACCACUACACCUGGCUAAUUUUGUACUUUUAGUAGAAAUGGGGUUUCACCAUGUUGGUCAAGCUGGUCUCAAACUCCUGACCUCAGGUGAUCCUACUGCCUCGGCCUCCCAGAAUGCUAGGAUUACAGCCGUGAGCCACUGCAUCCAGCUGGGUGCAUACAUAUUUAUAACUGCUAGUUCCUCUUGCUGUAUUGACCCCAUUAUUAUUAUAUAGUGAUCUUCUUUGUCUCUUUUUACAGUCUUUCACGUGUAGUCUAUUUUAUCUGACAUAAAUAUAGCUACUCCUGCUUUUUCUUGGUUUCCUGUUGCAUAGAAUAUCUUUUUCUAUCCUUUCACCUUCAGUUUAUGUGUGUCCUUAUAGGUGAAGUGGGUUUCUUGCAGGUAGGAUAGAGUUGGGUCUUGUUUCUUCAUCCAUUCAGCAACUGUAUGCCUUUUAAUUGGAGAUUUAAGUCCAUUUUACAUUGUGUUAUUAUGGAUAAGUAAGGACUUACUAUUGCCAUUUGUUGCUUGUUUUCUGAUUGUUUUGUAACGCCUCUUUUUCCUUCUUCCUUUCUUGCUCCCUUCUUUUGUGGGUAAGUGAUUUUCUCUGGUAGUAUGUUUUAACUCUUUGCUUUUAAUUUUUAGUGAAUCUAUUAAAGGUUUUUGUAUUGUGGUUACCAUGAGGCUUACAAAAAACAUCUUACAGAUAUAACAAGUUGUUUAAAAAAGACAGCUUAUCUUAGAUCAAAAAUACAAUAAUAGAAACAAUCAAAUAUAAAAAAUGAAAGCAAUACACUUUAGCUCCUUGUAUCCCGCAUUUUGACUUUUUGUUGUCUCAAUUUACAUAAUUUAUAUAUAAUAAUUAUAUUACAUUAUAUAUUAUGUAACAUAUAAUAUAUAUCAUUAUGCAUAUUAUAUAUAAUUAUUUUUACAAAUUUUUACCUCAAGUACAUUUUUUAUAUUACCUAUCUCUUAACAGGUUGUUAUGCCUUUUUUAAAAAAUUAGAUUUGCAUUUCAGUAUCUUUGUACUAGAGUUGUGAGUGGAUUGAUUGCACACAUAAUUACAGUAUUAGAGUAUUAUGGGUUUGUCUAUAUGCUUAAUUUUUACCUUGGAUUUUAUACCUUCAAAUAAUUUUUUUUUGCAUGUUAGUGUUUUUCUUUUCCUUUCAGACUGAAUAAUUCCCUAUAAUAGUUCUUGUAAGAUGGGUCUGGUGGUGUUAAAUUUUCUCACCUUUUGUGAGAAGGACUUUAUGCCUCCUUCAUAUUUGAAGGAUAGCUUUUCUGGAUACAGUAUACUUUGAUAGCAGUUUUUAGAAUUUUGGCACUUUCAACUUACCAUUCUGCUUUCUCCUGGCCUAUAUGUUCUCCAUAGAGAAGACCGUUGCCAAACAAAUUGGAGCUCCUUUAUAUGUUGAUUCUUUUAUUUUGCCACCUUUGGCUCCUCUCUUUGUCCUUGACCUUUGAGAGUUUGAUUAUUAGAUGCCUUGGGGUAGUCUUAUUUGGCUCAAAUCUGUUUGGUGUUCUCUGACCUUCUGGUACCUUGAUAUUUAUCUCUUUCUCAAGGUGUGGAGAGUUUUCUGUUAUUAUUUCUUUCAAUAAGUUUUCUAACCCUGCUGUUGCUCAACUCCAUCUUGAACACCAGUGAUUCUUACAUUUGGUCUUUGGAGAUAAUUUUCCAUAUCUUGAAGGCAAUCUUUGUUCCUUUGUAUUCUUUUUCAUUAUUUCUACUUAGACAAUGUAUUUUCAAAUAUCCUGUCUUCAAGUUCACUGAUUCUUUUAAAAUUGUGUUUAUUUUUUAUUUCAAUAGCUUUUAAGGUACAAGUCAUUUUUGGUUACAUGGAUGAAUUCUAUAGUAGUGACUUCUGAGAUUUUAGUACACUCAUCACCUGAGCAGUGUAUGCUGUACCCAAUAGGUAGUCUUUUAUCGCUCCCCCCUCCCCACUGAGUCCCCAAAGUCCAUUAUAUCACUUUGUAUGUCUUUGCGUCCUCAUAGCUUAGCUCCCAUGUAUAAGUGAGAACAUACGGUAUUUGGUUUUCCAUUUUUGAUUACUUCACUUAGCAUAAUGGCCUCCAGCUUCAUCCCACUUGCUGCAAAAGUUACUGCAGAAGACAUUAUUUCAUUCUUUUUUUUUUUUUUUUUUUCAAGACAGAGUUUCGCUCUGUCACCCAGGCUGGAGUGCAGUGGCACAAUCUCUGCUGACUGCAAGCUCCGCCUCCUGGGUUCACACCAUUCUCCUGCCUCAGCCUCCCGAGUAGCUGGGACUACAGGUGCCCACCAGCGCGUGCGGCUAAUUUUUUGUAUUUUUAGUAGAGACGGGGUUUCACCAUGUUAGCCAGGAUGGUCUCGAUCUCCUGACCUCCUGAUCCACCUGCCUCGGCCUCCCAAAGUGCUGGGAUUACAGGCGUGAGCCACAGUGCCUGGCCUUAUUUCAUUCUUUUUUAUGGCUGAGUAGUAUUCCAUGAUAUAUAUAUAUAUAUGUGUAUAUAUAUAUAUAUAUAUAUAUAUAUGUGUGUGUAUAUAUAUAUAUAUAUAUGUGUAUAUAUAUAUAUAUAUAUAUGUAUAUAUAUACCACAUUCUCUCUGUCUACUCAUUGGUGUCAAUGGGCACUUAGGUUGGUUCCAUAUCUUUUCAAUUGUGAAUUGUGCUGCUAUUAACAUACUUGUGCAUGUGUCUUUUUCAUAUAAUCUUCUUUACUUUUGGGUAGGUACCCAGUAGUGGGAUUGCUAGAUCGAAUGAUAGAUCUACUUUUAGCUCUUCAAGGGAUCUCUAUGCUGUUUCCCACAGAGGUUGUACUAAUUUAUAUUCCUACCAGCAGUGUAAAAGUGUUCCCUUUUCAACACAUCUACACCAACAUCUAUUGUUUUUUGACUGUUUUAUCAUGGCCACUCUUGCAGGAGUAAGGUGGUAUCUCAUUGUGGUUUUAAUUUGCAUUUUCAUGAUGGUUACUGAUGUAGAUAAUUUUUUCAUACAUUUUUGGGCUAUUUGUAUAUCUUUUUUUGAGAAAUGUCUAUUCGUGUCUUUUGCCCACUUUUUGAUGGAUUUUUUUUCUAAUUCAUUUGAGUUCCUUAUAGAUUCUGCAUACUAGCCCUUUCUCAGAUGCAUAGUUUGCAAAUAUUUUCUCCUUUUCUGUGGAUUGUCUGUUUACUCUGAUGACUAUCUCUUUUGCUGGGUAGAAACUUUUUUGUUUAAUUAGGUCCUAUUCACUUAUUUUUGUUAUUGUUGCAUUUGCUUUUGGGGUCUUGGUCAUGAAUUCUUUUCCUAGGCCAAUGCCCAGAAGUGUUUGUCCAGUAUUAUCUUUUAGAAUUUUUAUUGUUUCAGGUUUAAGACUUAAGUCUUUGAUCAGUUUUGAGUUGAUUUUUGUAUAAGGUGAGAGAUGGGAAUCCAGUUUCAUUCUUCUACAUGUGGCUUGCCAGAUUUCCUAGCACCAUUUAUUAAAUGGGAUGUCCUUUCCCCAAUUUAUGCUUUUGUAUGCUUUGUCAAAGAUCAUUUGGUUGUAAAUAUUUGGCUUUAUUUCUGGGUUCUCUAUUCUGUUCCAUUGGUCUACAUGCCUAUUUUUAUAUCAGUACCAUGCUGUUUUGAUAACUAUAGCCUUCUAGUAUAGUUUGAGGUUGGGUAAUAUGAACAAAUCCAGAUUUGUUCUUCUUCCUUAUGGUUUCUUUGGCUAUGUGGGCUCUUUUUCAGUUCCAUAUGAAUUUUAGAAUUGUUUAUUCUAGUUCUGUAUAAUUUGAAGUCCAGUAAUGUGAUGCCUCCAGCUUUGUUCUUUUUGCUUACUGGGGCUAUUUGGGCUCUUUUUUGAUUCCACAUGAAGUUUUGGAUUGCUUUUUAUUGUUCUGUGAAAAAUGAUGAUGGUAUUUUGAUGGAAAUUGCAUUAAAUCUAUAGAUUACUUUGGGCAGUUAUAGUUAUUUUCAUACUAUUGAUUCUUUUAUCAUCAUGGGAUGUGUUUCCAUUCAUUUGUGUCAUUUAUGAUUUCUUUCAGUAGUGUUUUGUGGUUUUCUUUGUAGAUAUCUUUCAACUCCUUGGUUAAGGAUAUUUCUAGGUAUUUUAAUUUUAUUAUUAUUUUUGCAGCCAUUGUAAAAGGGAUUGAGUUCUUAAUUUUAUUCUCAGCUUGGCCAUUGUUGGUGUAUAGCAGGACAACUGAUUUGUGUACAUUGAUUCCGUAACCUUAGACUUUGCUGAAUUUAUUUAUUAGGCCUAGUAAUCUUUUGGAUGAGGGAUGAGUCUUUAGGGUUUUCUAGGUAUACAAUCAUAUUGAGAGGUGACAGCGUGCUGGCAGUCCUCACAGCCUUCGCUCACUCUCAGCGCCUCCUCUGCCUGGGCUCCCACUUUGGCGGCACUUGAGGAGCCCUUCAGCCCACUGCUGCACCGUGGGAGUCCCUUUCUGGGCUGGCCAAGGCCGGAGCCGGCUCCCUCAGCUUGCAGGGAGGUGUGGAGGGAGAGGCGCCAGCGGGAACAGGGGCUGCGCGGGUGUUUGCGGGCCAGCUGGAGUUCCGGGUGGGCGUGGGCUUGGCCGGUCCGCACUCGGAGCAGCGGGCUGGCCCUGCCGCCCUGGGCAAUGAGGGGCUUAGCACCUGGUCCAGCGGCUGCGGAGGGUGUACUGGGUCCCCGAGCAGUGCCAGCUCACCCGGUGCUGCGCUCGAUUUCUCACCAGGCCUUAGCUGCCUUCCUGCGGGGCAGGGCUCGGGACCUGCAGCCCGCCAUGCCUGAGCCUCCCACCCCUCCCUGGGCUCUUGUGCGGCCGGAGCCUCCCCAAUGAGCGCCACCCACUGCGCCACGGCGCCCAGUCCCAUCGACCACCCAGGGGCUGAGGAGUGCAGGCGCACGGCGCGGGACUGGCAGGCAGCUCCACCUGCAGCCCCCGUGCGGGAUCCACUAGGUGAAGCCAGCUGGGCUCCUGAGUCUGGUGGGGAAGUGGAGAACCUUUAUGUCUAGCUCAGGGAUUGUAAAUACACCAGUCGGCACUCUGUAUCUAGCUCAAGGUUUGUAAACACACCAGUCAGCACCCUGUGUCUAGCUCAGGGUUUGUGAAUGCACCAGUGGACAUUCUGUAUCCAGCUACUCUGGUGGGGCCUUGGAGAACCUUUAUGUCUAGCUCAGGGAUUGUAAAUACACCAAUCGGCACUCUGUAUCUAGCUCAAGGUUUGUAAACACACCAAUCAGCACCCUGUGUCUAGCUCAGGGUUUGUGAAUGCACCAAUUGACACUCUGUAUCUAGCUACUCUGGUGGGGCCUUGGAGAACCUUUACGUCCACACUCUGUAUCUAGCUAAUCUGGUGGGGACCUGCAGAACCUUUGUGUCUAGCUCAGGGAUUGUAAACACACCAAUCAGCGCCCUGUCAAAACAGACCACUUGGCUCUACCAGUCAGCAGGAUGUGGGUGGGGCCAGAUAAGAGAAUAAAAGCAGGCUGCAAGCCAGCAGCGGCAACCCGUUGGGGUCCCUUCCACACUGUGGAAGCUUUGUUCUCUCACUCUUUGCAAUAUAUCUAGCUACUGCUCACUCUUUGGGUCCACACUGCUUUUAUGAGCUGUAACACUCACCGGGGAGGUCUGCAGCUUCACUCCUGAGCCAGUGAGACCACGAACCCACCAAAAGGAAGAAACUCCGAACACAUCCGAACAUCAGAAGGAACAAACUCCAGACGCGCCACCUUAAGAGCUGUAACACUCACUGCGAGGGUCCACGGCUUCAUUCUUGAAGUCAGUGAGACCAAGAACCCACCAAUUCCAGACACAAUAUCAUCGGCAAACAAUGCUAGUUUGAUUUCCUCUUUUCCAAUUUGGAUGUACUUUAUUUCUCUCUCUUGCCUGGUUGCUCUGGCUAGGACUUCCCGUGCUAUGCUGAAUAGAAGUGGUAAAAAUGGGCAUCCUUGUCUUGUUCCAGUUCUCGGAGGAAAUGUUUUCCACUUUUCCUGAUUCAGUAUAAUGUUGGCUGUGGGUUUGUCAUAUAUGGCUUUUAUUAUUUUGAGGUAAAUCCCUUCUGUGCCUAGUUUAUUGAGAGUUUUUAAUCAUAAGCAAUGCUGGAUUUUAUCAAAUGUGUUUUCUGCAUCUAUUGAGAUGAUCAUAUGUUUUUUGUUUUUAAUUCUGUUUAUGUGAUCUAUCAUAUUUACUGACUUGCAUAUAUUCAAUCAUCUCUGCCUCGAUGGGAUGAAACCCACUUGAUCAUGAUAAAUUUUCUUUUUGAUAUGCUGUUGGAUUUGGUUAGCUGGAGUUUGUUGAGGAUUUUUUCAUCUAUGUUCAUCAGGGAUAUUGGUCUGUAGUUUUCUUAUUUUAAUACCUUUCCUGGUUUUGGAAUUGGUGAUAUGGACUUCAUAGAAUCAUUUAUGGAGGAUUCCCUCUUUCUCUUUUAUUUGUUUAUUUGGCAUGUGUCUCAAGAUAUUACCCCUUUUCUCAAUCUUUUUGAAUAGUUUAAGUAAAAUUGGUACCAUUUCUUUCUUUGAAUGUCUGGUAGAAUUCAGCUGUGAAUCUGGUCCUCGGCUUUUUUUGUUGUUGUUGGCAAUUUUUUUUUUUUAUUAUUGAUUCCAUCUUUCUGCUUGUUAUUUGUCUGUUUAGGAUUUCUAUUUCUUUCUGAUUUAAUCUAGGAGGGUUGUAUGUUUCCAGGAGUUUAUCCGUUUCCUCUAGAUUUUCUAACUUGUGCACAUAAACGUGUUCAGAGUUGUCUUGAAUUAUCUUCUGUAUUUCUGUAGUAUCAGUUGUAAUGUCUCUGGUUUCAUUUCCAGUUGAGCUUAUUUAGAUCUUCUCUCUAUUUUCUUGAUUAAUCUUGCUAAGUUCUAUCAAUUUUAUCUUUUCAAAGCACCAGCUUUUUGUUGCAUUUAUCUUUUGUAUUUUUGGUCUCAAUUUCAUUUAUUUCUUCUCUGAUUUUUGUUAUUUCUUUUCUUCUGCUGGCUUUAGGUUUAGUUUAUUCCUGUUUCUUUGGUUUUUUGAGAUGUGAACUUAGGUUGUCACUUUGUGCUCUUUCAGGCUUUUUGAUGUCGGUAUUUAAUGCUAUGAACUUUCUUCUUAGCAUUGCUUUUGCUUUUGCUGUAUCUCAGGGAUUUUGAUAACUUGUUUCACUACCAUCAUUCAUUUCAAAUAAUUUUAAAAUUUCCAUCUUGAUUUUAUUGUUAACCCAAAAAUCAUUCAGAACCAGAUUAAUUAAUUUUUAUGUAUUUGUAUAGUGUUGAGGAUUCUUUUGUCAUUGAGUUGUAGUUUUGUUAUACUUUGGUCUGAAAGAUAUUUGAGAUGAUUUUUAUUUUCUUAAAUUUAUUGAGACUUGUUUUGUGACCUAUUACAUGGUCUAUCUUGGAAAAUUUUCCAUGUGCUGAUGAGAAGAAUGUGUAUUCUGCAGUUCUUGGGUAGAAUGUUCUGUAAAUAUCUGUUAAGUCUAUUUGUUCUAGAAUGUAGUUUCAGUCCAUUGUUUCUGUGUUUACUUUCUGUCUCAGUGAUCUUUCUAGUCCUGUCAGUGGAGUAUUUAAGUCCCCCACUAAUAUUGUGUUGCUGUCAACCUCAUUUUUUAGAUCUAGUAGUAAUUGUUUUAUAAUUUUGGAAGCUCCAAUGCUAGGUGCAUAUAAAUUCAGGAUUGUAAUCUUGUUGGAUUGGUCUUUUAACCAUUAUAUAAUGACCUUUUUUCUUUUUGCUGUUGUUGCUUUAAAGUCUGUUUGGUCUGAUAUAAGAAUAGCUCCUCCUGCUCGCCUUUUGUUUCCAUUUGCAUGGAAUAUCUUUUCCACCCCUUUACCUUGAGUUUGUAAGAGUCCUUAUAUGUUAGGUGAGUCUCUUGAAGACAGCAGAUAUAUGGUUUUUUAUUUUUUUUAUCUACUCUAUCAUCCAGUAUCUUUUAAUCGGAAUACUUAGGCCACUUACAUUCAACAUUAAUACUGAGAUAUGAGAUACGGUUCCAUUCAUCAUGUUAGAAUUACCUAGAUACUUUUUUGUUGUGUUAUGGUUUUAUAGGCCCUGUUUUAUGCUUUCAAGAGGUUCUAUUUGGAUGCAUAUUAAGCUUUUGUUUCAAGAUUUAGAACUCCUUUUAACAUUUCUUGUAGUGCUGGUUUGGUAGUGGCAAAUUCCCUCAGCAUUUACUUGUCUGAAAAUAAUUUCAUUUCUUCUUCAUUUAUGAAAUUUAGUUUUGCUGGAUACAAAAUUUGUGGCUGACAGUUAUUCUUUUUAAGGAGGCUAAAUGUAAGACUCCAAUCUCUUCUAGUUUGUAAGGUUUUUGCUAAGAAGUCUUCUGUUAAUUUGAAAGUUACUUGCUGCUUUUGUCUCACAGCUCUUGGCAUUCUUUCCUUUUUGUUGACUUUAGGUGGCCUGAUGGUCAUGUUCCUUGGUGUAAUCUUUUUACAGUGAAUUUCUCAGUUGUUUGUUUGUUUGUUUGUUUUUGAGGUUCUUGUAUUUGGAAAUUUAAAUCUUUAGCAAGGCCAGGGAUGUUUUUCUCAAUUAUUUUCUCAAAUAAGUUUUUCAAACUUUUAGCCUUCUCUUUUCCUGCAGAAACACCAAUUAUUCUUAGCUUUGGCCAUUUUACAUAAUCCUGUAUUUCUUAGAGACUGUGUUCAUUUCUUUUUAUUCUUUUUCCUUUAUCUUUUUCUGACUGAGUUAAUUCAAAAGCCUUGUCUUUGAGCUCUGAAAUUCUUUCUUCUACUUGUUCUAAUCUAUUGUUUAAACUUUCCACUGCAUUUUAUAUUUCUCUAAGUGUGUCUUUCAUUUCCAGAAGUUCUGACUGGUUUUUCUUUAUGAUAUGUAUCUCUCUAAGACACUUUUCAUUCAUAUCCUCUUUUUUUUUUUUUGAGACACGGUCUCACUCUGUCACUCAGGCUGGAGUGCAGUGGUAUGAUCACAGCUCACUGCAGCCUCGACUACCCAGGCUCAAUUGAUCCUUCGAUCUCUCAGCCUCUUGAGUAGCUGGGACUACAGGCAUGUGCCACCACACCCAACUAAUUUUUAUAUUUUUUGCAGAGAUGGAGUUUCACAAUGUUGUCCAGGCUAGUGUUGAACUCCUGAGCUCAAGCAAUCCACCCGCCUUGGCCUCCCAAAAUGCUAUGAUUACAGGUGUGAACCACUGUGCCUGGCCUAUAUCCUGAAUUGUUUUUAAAAUUUCUUUAUGGUGGUUUUCACCUUUCUGUGGUAUCUCUUCAAGUAGCUUAAUAACCUUCUGAAUCUUUAUUUGGUAUUUCAAAGAUUUCAUCUUGGUUUGGAUCCAUUGCUGGGGAGCUAGUGUGAUCUGUUAUAGAACUCUGGUUUUUUUUGUGUGUGUGUCACCAAAAUUAACUUUUCUGGUUCCUUCUCAUUAGGGUAGACUAUUUCUGUUAAGUAUUCUUGAAUUUAAGAUUUCUUUUCUUUCUUUCUUUCUACCCUUAAGGAUGUGACUUUAAUGUGUGUAGUUUAUUAUAGCCUAAUUUGGUUGGUCGUGCUUUUAGGGUGAUGACUCUGUAUGAGUUCCUUGGUUAUGGAGAGUGUUUGUAUGAUAGCUUCCUCAGAUACUGGUUGUAGAAGCUACGUACUUGGUGUGUGGAUAAGUUCACUAUCUCCUAUGGGGUUGGAAUGACAGAGGUCUUUUGAAGCUUAUCCCAUUUCCGUGUGGUGUGCACUUAUUUAUUUAUUUAUUUAUUUAUUUAUUUAUUUAUUUAUUCCCCAGUAUUCUAUUUACUGAGUUGAUGAUUCAGGUCUCAGGUGAGUAGGGAAGAUUUUCCUCGGUAGAAACUGGUUGUAGCUAAAGCAGGUGGGUAAGUGCAAUGGCCAGUGGCGGGCAGAGAUCCCAGCCUUGAUGAUGGUAGCUGGGGGAGCUCUCAAUUAGAUGCACUGAGGUCUUAACAGGGGAAAGGGUAGGAGCCACCCCAGCUCCCCCUGCCAGGCCAGCAGGAAAGCUGUCCACCUCCCAGACUCACUCCUGUCCCAAUGUUUCAGCUAUUCAGAUUAGACAGGCACCCCUUUUCUUCUGCAUGAAUGUUGAUGUUCCACAUAGAGAAGAACUGUGACUCUGCCUCUCAUGGAAGCCUGAACCUGGAAGGUGCUCCUCCUGUGGAGAUGCAGUCACCCUGCAAUGUUCCAGGAAGGAUGUCUGUAGAUGCACCCAUGCUGAGCUACCAUGGGAGAAGCCUCAGCUGUGUCUGUAGUGGUGGACAAGGAGAGAAAGAAGACCCCUUCUUCAAGACCCUUCAUGAGCACCAAGGCUGCCUGACUGUUGGGAUAGUACUGCAGACUUUCCCUGCUGAGCCCAGCACUGCAAUUGCAUCUCUACAGAAAGAAACUUCCCACCAGAGUGAAGAUCUGGAACUCAAAGCUUGCUGUCCAGAUUCUUUUGUCCUAUGAGGUGUUCCUUUCAUGUAGUGUUCUCCCUCUUCCCCUAGGAGUAGGAGUUUCUGAGAGCCAGACUGCAGUGAUUGCUAUUGCUCUUCUGGGUCUAGCCACCUGUGAGGCUGCCAUACUCCAGGUUGGUGCCAGGAAAUGUCUGCAAGCGAUCUGGUGAUGUGACCUGUCCUCAAGUCUCCUAGCAGUGGGUACCAGCACCAGCUCUGAUGAGGGUGGCAGGGGAGUAACGUAAACUCUGUGAGAUUCCUUGGUUAUAGAUAGCCUUAGCGUGCUGUCUUUCUCAAAUGCUGGUUACAAUAGUAGUAAACUGGUCAUGUGGACAGACUCAGGACCUCUUGUUGACAAUGGUGAUAGCUGAGGUCACACACUGGUUUUCUUCUUCCUGGGUGGUAUGUUAGUGUGCCUGCAGAUGCUGUAAUGGACUGUCAGUUACCCUCCAGCCAGCAGGUGGUGCCUGCAAAAGAGCAGCAGCUUCAGUAGUAACUGUGGGAUUUGAGCUUGCCUUAUGUUGCCCAGGGGAGGUAUUUUGGUUUCUCAGGUGAUGGGUGAGGACAUAAAGUUCCCCAAAAUUUCUGUCCUUUGUGUUAAGCUACCAGGGUGUGUGGAGGGCCAUAACCGGGUGGGGUCUGAGUCAGGUGGGUCUGCAUUCUGACUCCCUGUGUGUGGGGCAAGCUGUGACCCCUGUUGGGGUAGGAAGGUCAUUCUUAAGCCUCUGAGGUAAUGUUCCAUAGGUGAGUGUAACUGCUCUGCUGUUCAGAAGAACUUGUACAAGAGGUGGGGAGUAACAUGUGGCAGUAAGCCUCACUUAGAUCCCACACAGUUGGCCAGGCUGAUCUCACUCCCACAGUGCCCUGCUAGUAGCACUGGGCUAAGUUUCAGGUAGCCUGCACUCAGAACUCAAACCUUCCUCAGGCCAUAAACUUUCCCCAUGAGGAUAACAACCACAGCUUUCAGGCCACAUCCUUCCCCAUCCACCUGCAAGGAUGGGUGCCUGGCUCCUGUGCUCACAAAUAUAGCAUACUUUCCACUUGCCGUCCCCACCCCUCCAGGGUUCUGACCAAGAGAAUUUGUCCCUACUUGAUGUUAUAUUGUGAAAUUCAGUUGGGAGUUGUGACUACUGUCUGAGCUGGUUGGUUGACUUUGCUGAGGUUCCUGUGAGAUAUAAUAAGGAAUGGCUUCCCUUGGUCUGCACUGGAGAUUGGGAAUGCCUGCAAGGCACUUCCCACUGCUGCUUCUACUUUUAUAUUUCACUGCUCCCUAAAUCAGUUCCUGUUCUGUGUUGGAUUAAGGCCUUCACCUGUGGCCUGGAUUUUUAAGUUCCUUAAUGGGGAUAUGUAUCCUGGAGGCAGUCUCUCCCACUCUAACACUCUGGGGACUUAGUUUUUGGCCUGUUUCAUGGUGUAGGCUGAAGCCUGCCACUUCUUUCAAAGAGUCUGUGGAUUCUUUCACUUUUCCUGUUAAGUUCCUGUAUUGCUUCUUGGAAAAAAGUUCACAAUGUGAAUCUCUACACCUAUUUUGUCCUUCCAAGUGGAGAGGCAUGCUGACAUUGCCUCCAAUUCCCCAUCUUGUGGGGGAGAGGGGAAGCUCACUGAUUCUUUCCUCUGCAUGAUCCAUUCUGCUAUUGAGGACCCCCUAAUGAAUUUUUUAGUUCAGCCAAUGUAUUUCUCAGUUCCAAGAUUUCUGUUUGAUUUCAUUAUUUCAAUCUCUUUGUUAGAUUUUUUGAUAAGAUUCUGAAUUGCUUUUCUGUGUUAUCUUGGAGGUCAUUGAAUUAUCUUAAAACUGUGCCUUGGUGUGUGUGUGUGUGUGUGUGUGUGUGUGUGUGUGUGUGUUUGGAGACAGGGUCUCACUCUGUCACCCAGACUGGAGUGCAGUGGCCUGAACCUGACCUACUGCAGCCUUGACCUCCUGGGCUUAAGCGAUCCUCCUGCCUCAUUAUCCUGAGUACCUGCAACUAUCACCAUGCACGUAUCACCAUGCCUGGCUAAUUUUUAAAUUUUUUUUGUAGAGAUGAGGUCUUGCUAUGUUGCCCAGGCUGGUCUUAAACUCCUGGGCUCAACUGACCCUCCUACUUUGGCCUCCCAAAGUGCUAGGAUUGCAGGUGUGAGUCAACACACCCAGCAAUUUGCUAUUUUGAAUUCUUGGUCAGAGAGCUUACAUAUUGCCAUCUCUUUAGGGUCCGUCACUGGUUUCUUGCUUCAUUAGUUUGUGGAGGUCUUGAUUCCCUGUUUGCUGUUGUUUAUUGAUGAUGUGAAUCUAUGUCUUUGCACUGAUUAUUUAUUUUUCCAGUCUUCUUUGACUAGCUUGUUUUUUUUUUAAUUGGAUAUUUUUCUUAGACUUUUUUUUUUUUUGGUAAUUUUCCUGUUGAAUUUCUAUUUUUUUUUUUUUUUUUUAAGAUGGAGUCUCGCUCUGUCACCCAGGCUGGAGUGCAGUGGCGUGAUCUCAGCUCACUGCAAGCUCCGCCUGCUGGGUUGAUGCCAUUCUCCUGCCUCAGCCUCCCAAGUAGCUGGGACUAUAGGUGCCCGCCACCAUGCCCGGCUAUUUUUUUUUGUAUUUUUAGUAGAAAUGGGGUUUCACCAUGUUAGCCAGGAUGGUCUCGAUCUCCUGACCUCAUGAUCUGCCCGCCUUGGCCUCCCAAAGUGCUGGGAUUACAAGCAUGAGCCACUGCACCUGGCCUUCCUGUUGAAUUUCUUUCUUUUUUUUCCCACUAGAUUGCUGUGUCCAUUUAGCACUAGAUAGUAUUUUAAGCCCAGGUUUGUUUCAGGUCUAGAAAAGGAUCAGAGUGCUGCCUGUCCCAAAUGGAGAAUGCCCCAAAAGUACAUCCCAGCAGUAUGGGAAGGCUGGUUAGGGGUUCAUGUCCAGGAGACCUAUGGAACACUUUUCCUACAGCAUGGUGCUGCUGAACAUUCACUCUGGUUUAGUAUCAUCUUUGGCUGAGUUACAGAGCAGUUUCCAGGGUAGGGGAUGGCAGUCCCACCAUCUCCCUUUGUCUCUGGCUGUCCACAGGGCUAUUUCUCCCAUUAGGCAUUCACAAUGCUUCCUGUGGGUUGGGGCAGGGACAUGUCUUCUGUCAUGGAACUCAACAUAGUGGGGAAGCUGAUUAUUCAUCUUGAUCUCACUUUUUCCAGUGUAAAAAUUGUGAGUUGAGGAGAAAUUUUCUGCAUGUUUGGUUUGGGGCAAAUUGAGGGAAGGGGUGUUAUGGACAUGGAAGUCUGAUUUUCUUAUCAUCUACUCAGAGGUUUUUCACUUCCCUGUGACCCCAGGAACUGCUUUAUCUUCAUUUUUGAGUUCUGGGAUAUUGCUGGUGAUAAUCUCAGCACUGUAUGCCACUUUUGGAACUGGAAGCCCCUUUCUGUCUCAGAUUGUCUUUAUCUCUUUUUCAUUCUUGAAGGAUAGUGUUGCCAUGUAUAUUAUUAUUUGAUUGUUUGUUUGUUUUUUCCCACAGCACUUUGAAUAUAUAUCAUCCCAUGCCAUUCAGACCUGCAAGAUUUCUGCUAAAAACUAGUGAUAGUCUCAUGAGGAUUCCCUCAUAUGUGACAUGUUGUUUUUCUCUUGGUGUUUUUUCAAAAAUCUUUCUUUGUCUUUGACAAUUUAAUUAUAAUAUUUCUCAGUGUGGAUUUUUAGGGUUCAUCUUAAGUUGGGUUCUGUAAGUUUCCUGCAUCUAAAUGUCCAUUUCCUUUCUCACAUUUGAUACUUUUUCAGCCAUUAUUUCUUAGAAUAAGCUUUCUGCUUAUUUUUUCUCUCGCUGUCUCUCUUCCUCUUCUGAGACUUCUAUAAUGCUUGUAUUGGUCUUUCUUAAUGGUGUGCUGUAUAUCCCUUAAGCUAUCUUUGCUGUUUUUCUUUUACUCCUCUGAUGAAUAAUUCCAUGUGAUCUUUCUCCAAGUUCUCUCAUUUUUUCUUCUGUUUGCUUUACUCAUACAUUUUACCCCUCUUUUGAUUUUUUCAGUUCAGCUAUUGGUAUUCUUCAGCUCCAUGAUUUGUUUGGUCCUUUUUAAAAUUUUCUCUCUUAGUUGAAAUUAUCCUUUUGUUUUUACAUUGCUCCCCCAAGCUCAUGAAGUAUUUUUUGUGACACUUAUUUUGAUUUUUCUCUGAAGUAAUUUAUAUAUUCCCAUUUCAUUAGGAUCAGUUUCUGGAGUUUAAUCUUUUUCUUUUGUUUGGAUAAUGUUUCUUUGUUUCUUAAUUUUCCUUGAUUCUUCCUGUUGAUAUCUAUGCAUUAGAAAAAACUUUACCAUCUCCCAGUCUUUCUGGAUUUGUCUUGUACAGGAGAAGAGCUUCACCAAUCAACCUGGCCCAAACUUUUGUGGGCCUCUCAAACCUUCAUGCUAGUUCAAACUUCUGUCUUUGUUCUUAGUGGCUUCCAGACCUUUAGAGUAUGCCAGGUUCUGUCAACAUUCUUAGAUAGCUGGAAAAGAAGCCAAGUCAUCAGGUAGCUCCUAUAGAAGUUGGAAGUCUAGGUGCAUGGUCCAACUCUUUCCCUCUCCAGGGAUAAGCUGGUUGCUGAGGUUUUUGGGGUUUUUGUUUUUUUAUCCACUUGCUCUGAAUUGAGCCAUAGAGAGGAGUUGUGCUGACUGCCUGGAUACUAGUUCAAACCACUGCUUUGUUCUCUGUCACUUCUAGAAGACAGUGUAUGCCAGGCCAUGUCAACUUUCUAAGACAGGAAGAUGGAAGCCAGCUCCUCAGGUAGCACCUAAAUAAUUUGGGGC